GAGAAUCUUGUUCCUGGUAAAUGGAAAGAAGUUCAAGCAGGGAUAAACAUAACGAAGAAAGAACAGCCUAAGAUAGCUCAAGAGAUUGAGUUUAAUAGUAAAGAAGAACGGCGUAAGAUAGCUCAAGAGUUUGAGUUUAAUAGUAAAGAAGAACGGCGUAAGAUAGCUCAAGAGUUUGAGUUUAAUAGUAAUUUUAUGAAGAAGAAAAGUGGGUUGGUUCAUUUGAGGGAUAUUGAUUCGAACGAGUAUAAAGCUUAUAAAGAAGCUAAAUUGGC
rnacentral:lncRNA from 1 species